rnacentral:rRNA from 1 species
UACGUAGGGUGCGAGCGUUUAAUCGGAAUUACUGGGCGUAAAGGGUGCGCAGGCGGUUAUAUAAGACAGAUGUGAAAUCCCCGGGCUCAACCUGGGAACUGCGUUUGUGACUGUAUGACUAGAGUACGGUAGAGAGGGGUGGAAUUCCUGGUGUAGCAGUGAAAUGCGUAGAUAUCAGGAGGAACAUCGAUGGCGAAGGCAGCCCCUUGGACCUGUACUGACGCUCAUGCACGAAAGCGUGGGGAGCAAAC